CACGUAGGCACCAAGCGUUUGUCCGGAUUUAUUGGGCGUAAAGAGCGUGUAGGCGGCUUUGCAAGUCGGGCGUGAAAUCCCAUGGCUCAACCAUGGAAGUGCACUCGAAACUGCAGAGCUAGAGUCCUGGAGAGGAAGGUGGAAUGCUUGGUGUAGAGGUGAAAUUCGUAGAUAUCAAGCGGAACACCGAUGGCGAAGGCAGGUCUCUGGGCUGACACUGACGCUCAUGCACGAAAGCGUGGGGAGCAAACAGG
rnacentral:rRNA from 1 species